UUUUAUUUAAAAAUAAUUUUAUUAAUUUACAAUUAAUAUUUUUUAAAAUAUA
rnacentral:tRNA from 1 species